CAAAGAUUAAGCCAUGCAUGUCUCAGUGCAAGCCGUCCUGUACGGUGAAACCGCGAAAGGCUCAUUAAAUCAGUUAUGGUUCCUUAGAUAGUACCCACGUUACUUGGAUAACUGUGGUAAUUCUAGAGCUAAUACAUGCCGACAGAGUUCCGACCAGCGUCGCGGCGGCUUGCCGUUCGCGACGUUCGGAAGGAGCGCUUUUAUUAGAUCAAAAUCGGCCAAGCGCAACGUUCGCGUAGCGUUAGUGGCCCGCGCAAAGACUUGACGACUCUGAAUAACUUCGAGCUGAUCGCACGGUCUCGCACCGGCGACGUAUCUUUCAAAUGUCUGCCUUAUCAACUGUCGACGGUACGUUCGAUGCUUACCGUGGUGGUAACGGGUAACGGGGAAUCAGGGUUCGAUUCCGGAGAGGGAGCCUGAGAAACGGCUACCACAUCCAAGGAAGGCAGCAGGCGCGCAAAUUACCCACUCCCAGCUCGGGGAGGUAGUGACGAAAAAUAACGAUACGGGACUCAUCCGAGGCCCCGUAAUCGGA
rnacentral:rRNA from 1 species